CUUCAUCACCAACCAGACUUAUGUUACAUUUCAUGGGAGGCCUGACCUUGCAUCCCACCCCCUCAAUUUCUGUCUUCUUCCAAUCCUCUAACAAAUGUAACAUCGUUUUUACAAAUAAUUCUAUACCCAUUCCCAUCUUCCGGAGUAGGAAGGAGGGCAUCUUCAACACUAGGAAGCUUCACAUCUUCAGAGGUAGGAACCUUGUGAGGUUGUUGGUCCACUUGCC
rnacentral:lncRNA from 1 species